rnacentral:rRNA from 1 species
UACGUAGGGGGCAAGCGUUGUCCGGAUUCAUUGGGCGUAAAGAGCGUGUAGGCGGCCAGGUAGGUCGGUUGUGAAAACUGGAGGCUCAACCUUCAGAGGUCGACCGAAACCAUCUGGCUAGAGUCCGGGAGAGGAGAGUGGAAUUCCUGGUGUAGCGGUGAAAUGCGCAGAUAUCAGGAAGAACACCCGUGGCGAAAGCGGCUCCUCGUCGGACCACAACUGACGCUGAGGCGCGAAAGCGUGGGGAGCAAACAGG